GGGUGACCUAGGAAGGCCUUUGAAAUGUGUUGUAUCAGCUCAGAGGGAAUUAGACCGCAUACGAUGCCACAAAACAUCAAAUAAAUGUAAAACUAUAAAGAUAAUACAUCUAAAAUUAAGAUGUAUUAAUAACUAGGCAUACAAGCUCUCUCUGAAUACAAAGUGUGUAAGAGCUGAUUUCCAAGAUCCUUUGCAAUUAAACGUUAGUACAUGAUGAAAGUUCUUAAGGCUUAGCCUCACUUGCUGCUAAGCCUGCUACCUGAGUUUCUACUAGGCUGUGACCAACUUUUGAACUUGCCACGAUAGCACUAAACUACUGUUAUGCAUCCUACUGAUAAAACUGGACAUGUGGCGCUUAAUACGCCAAACCAGAAUCAUCAAUGUUUGUUAAAGAACUCUCCCGUUACUAUUGUGAUGUCCACUCCGGAAGAUUAUCUGCAUCUGGUUGAGGUUUAGACAGAAGAGAAGCAGUUAACAGACACCGACUGUAUACACAGCGGUCUGCCGGCACACUGCAAAAAAGCCGAUACGCCUUACAGGCUCAGGAAGUUGACUAACCCAGGGAAAAGCCCCAUGCCCUCCUCUAUGAAAGGGAGUGUGUGGUUGGUAGAACCCAAAGUAAACACGGAAAAAUUCAUUCAAGAAUUUCCUUAAGGCCUACCGUGAAGACGUCGGAGGCAAGUUAAGACGUUGGGGAGCAGGAGCAGCAUCACACCUGCGCCUACCAGAGAUGCAAACUGAGGAGACAGAGCCAGUUGGAGAGAAACCAUCAGGAACGUAUUGGUCCCUGUCUGCAACUGAGGCCUUCUGCUUGUUUCUCUCUGCUCCAGUGCCAUCAAAAAGAAAGAAAGAAAGAAAAAGCUACAAACAUGAGUCAAGGCUGUAUAUAGCAGCUCUGGAUCCUAUCCCAGUUGGGUUGACUACUUUGGGCUCAGUGUCUCUUGGCUUUCUUGAGCAAAGACUGACUGUGCCUUCUCUCCAGAGAGUCAAAGCCAUAAUCAAUGAGUGCAUUUGGCACAGCCAGUCUUCCUCCAGUCUGCAUUGCACGCACAAGUGGAAUCCUGCUGUUAAGACAGCUCUGAGGCUGAACUGAAGCCCUUCUUCCUCCUUCCAUCUACA
rnacentral:lncRNA from 1 species